rnacentral:rRNA from 1 species
GACGAACGCUGGCGGCGUGCUUAACACAUGCAAGUCGAACGGAAAGGCCCUGCUUUUGUGGGGUGCUCGAGUGGCGAACGGGUGAGUAACACGUGAGUAACCUGCCCUUGACUUUGGGAUAACUUCAGGAAACUGGGGCUAAUACCGGAUAGGAGCUCCUGCUGCAUGGUGGGGGUUGGAAAGUUUCGGCGGUUGGGGAUGGACUCGCGGCUUAUCAGCUUGUUGGUGGGGUAGUGGCUUACCAAGGCUUUGACGGGUAGCCGGCCUGGGAGGGUGACCGGCCAAAUUGGAACGGAGAUACGACCCAGACUCCUACGGGAGGCAGCAGUGGGGAAUAUUGCACAAUGGGCGGAAGCCUGAUGCAGCAACGCCGCGUGCGGGAUGACGGCCUUCGGGUUGUAAACCGCUUUCGCCUGUGACGAAGCGUGAGUGACGGUAAGGGGGAAAGAAGCACCGGCUAACUACGU